rnacentral:rRNA from 1 species
GUCGAACGAGAAAGUGGAGCAAUCCAUGAGUACAGUGGCGUACGGGUGAGUAACACGUGGGUGAUCUACCUCUUUGUGGGGAAUAACCCUGGGAAACCGGGGCUAAUACCGCAUAAGCACGAGAGUGGAAAGCAGCAAUGCGCAGAGAGAGGAGCCCGCGGCCGAUUAGCUAGUUGGGAGGGUAAAAGCCUACCAAGGCAAAGAUCGGUAGCCGGCCUGAGAGGGCACACGGCCACACUGGCACUGAAACACGGGCCAGACUCCUACGGGAGGCAGCAGUGGGGAAUCUUGCACAAUGGGGGAAACCCUGAUGCAGCGACGCCGCGUGAGCGAUGAAGCCCUUCGGGGUGUAAAGCUCUUUCGGCAGGGAAGAUGGUGACGGUACCUGCAGAAGCAGCUGCGGCUAACUACGUGCCAGCAGCCGCGGUAAUACGUAGGCAGCGAGCGUUGUUCGGAGUUACUGGGCGUAAAGGGUGUGUAGGCGGUUGUUUAAGUUUGGUGUGAAAUCUCCCGGCUCAACCGGGGGGGUGCGCCGAAUACUGAAUGACUAGAGUGCGGGAGAGGAAAGUGGAAUUCCUGGUGUAGCGGUGAAAUGCGUAGAUAUCAGGAGGAACACCGGUGGGUGUAGACGGCUUUCUGGACCGUAACUGACGCUGAGACACGAAAGCGUGGGUAGCAAACAGGAUUAGAUACCCUGGUAGUCCACGCCCUAAACGAUGCAUAUUUGGUGUGGGCAGUUCAUUCUGUCCGUGCCGGAGCUAACGCGUUAAAUAUGCCGCCUGGGGAGUACAGUCGCAAGGCUGAAACUCAAAGGAAU